CCCUUUUAAACUACAGAUUUGUGUGAGGCUGUAUUUUCUUUAUAUACUUCAGCCAGAGCAAAUUAUUGGAACAGAUUAAAUGCUGAAGUAGAUAGGAGGUUGCAGCUGACUUCUGUUAAACCAGACAUUAAAGAUAUUUGUAAAAAUGUGAAACAGUGCCACAAUUUUAAGUUUCUUUAAAAGAAAACUUAUGUUUUAAUUAAAGCAUGUGAUUUAUGUGAGUAUGUAAUGUGUCUUUUAUUUUGUUUUUUAUUAAAAAAACUUUUUUAAUGUUUGUUUAUUCUUAGAGAGAGAGAGGGAGCGAGCAUGAGCGGGGAAGGGGAAGAGCAAGAGAGGGACACAGAAUCCGAAGCAGGCUUCAGGCUCUGAGCUGUCAGCACAGAGCCCGACGUGAGAUCGUAACCUGAGUUGAAGUCAGACAUUUAACCAACUGAGCCACUGAGGUGCCCCAUCGGGAAUACCAUGAGAAAAUGACCACGAUUAUAAGGGAACAGUGACCUGAAAAAGUGUAAGGACCUGUGCCGUGGGUUAAACUUUUUUGAUAAAUUGCAGUUUGGACUUCAGGUAUGGUAAAAAGUCGUACAAGAAAAUGGGAGGAGAAAGGCAGGGGAAUUGUAAACAGCACGGCUGGGGAGAAGGCAUAUGUGAUGAUGGUGUAUAUUCUCUGGUUCCUUAGGGCCAUAUUCUCCGGUUUUAAGUCCUGGUUCUUUGGCUAACUAUAUGACCAUGGCUGAGAAAUUAACUGUUCUAGACCUGCCUUAGCAUUUAUAAAAUAGGAAUAACACCUCAUAAGGUUUAAAUGAAAUAUUCUAGGUAAGUAUGUUUUAUAGAAUUUAAAGUCUCUAGAUAGGUUUGUGGUAAAGUGAAUAGUGGCUACUCAAAGAUGUCCACAUUCUAGUUUCUGUUACCAUAAGUAUGGUAAAGAGACUUUGUAAAUGUAAUUAAGUUAAGCAUCUUGAGGCGGGGACAUUAUCCUGGAUUAUCCAGGUAGGUCCUUAGAAGGAGGCGAGAGAUCCGAGUGAGUAGUAGGAGAGUUGAUGAUGGAAGCAAGAGGUGGGAGUGAGUGGUGUGGUGAAGGGGACCUGAGCCAGAGUAGAGGAGGGCCCUAGAAGCUAAAAAAAAAGCAAGGAAA